AUUGAACGCUGGCGGCAGGCCUAACACAUGCAAGUCGAGCGGAUGAAGGGAGCUUGCUCCUGGAUUCAGCGGCGGACGGGUGAGUAAUGCCUAGGAAUCUGCCUGGUAGUGGGGGAUAACGUCCGGAAACGGGCGCUAAUACCGCAUACGUCCUGAGGGAGAAAGUGGGGGAUCUUCGGACCUCACGCUAUCAGAUGAGCCUAGGUCGGAUUAGCUAGUUGGUGGGGUAAAGGCCUACCAAGGCGACGAUCCGUAACUGGUCUGAGAGGAUGAUCAGUCACACUGGAACUGAGACACGGUCCAGACUCCUACGGGAGGCAGCAGUGGGGAAUAUUAGACAAUGGGCGAAAGCCUGAUCCAGCCAUGCCGCGUGUGUGAAAAAGGUCUUCGGAUUGUAAAGCACUUUAAGUUGGGAGGAAGGGCAGUAAGUUAAUACCUUGCUGUUUUGACGUUACCAACAGAAUAAGCACCGGCUAACUUCGUG
rnacentral:rRNA from 1 species